AAAUUGAAGAGUUUGAUCAUGGCUCAGAUUGAACGCUGGCGGCAGGCCUAACACAUGCAAGUCGAACGGUAACAGGAAGCAGCUUGCUGCUUCGCUGACGAGUGGCGGACGGGUGAGUAAUGUCUGGGAAACUGCCUGAUGGAGGGGGAUAACUACUGGAAACGGUGGCUAAUACCGCAUAACGUCGCAAGACCAAAGAGGGGGACCUUCGGGCCUCUUGCCAUCAGAUGUGCCCAGAUGGGAUUAGCUAGUUGGUGAGGUAACGGCUCACCAAGGCGACGAUCCCUAGCUGG
rnacentral:rRNA from 1 species